UUGUUAUCUAUUUUCUUUCUCAGUUGUCUUUCGGAGCAGCAUGUAGUUGUCACAAGCCUAGAGCGCCCUCUCGCGGCGGUAGACGAUAAUGUUUUCAGA